UACGGAGGGUGCGAGCGUUGUCCGGAAUCACUGGGCGUAAAGGGCGCGUAGGUGGCGCGGUAAGCGGGUGGUGAAAGUCCGGGGCUCAACCCCGGAUCGGCCAUGCGAACUGCCGCGCUGGAGCACUGUAGAGGCAGGUGGAAUUCCGGGUGUAGCGGUGGAAUGCGUAGAGAUCCGGAAGAACACCGGUGGCGAAGGCGGCCUGCUGGGCAGUUGCUGACACUGAGGCGCGACAGCGUGGGGAGCAAACAGG
rnacentral:rRNA from 1 species